AAGUCGUAACAAGGUUUCCGUAGGUGAACCUGCGGAAGGAUCAUUAAAGAGAUAGGGUCUUCAUGGCCCGACCUCCAACCCUCAUCGUUGUUAUAAUCUACCAUUGUUGCUUUCGGUCGGGUGAUGCCGGUCCUCGGGUCUCCGAGCGCACUAACCCUCGGGUUGGUGAGCGCCCGCCAGAGUCCAACCAAACUCUUGUAUUAAACCAGUCGUCUGAGUAUAAAAUUUUAAUUAAAUUAAAA
rnacentral:misc_RNA from 1 species